UACGAAGGGGACUAGCGUUGUUCGGAUUUACUGGGCGUAAAGCGCGCGUAGGCGGAUUGCUAAGUCAGGGGUGAAAUCCUGGAGCUCAACUCCAGAACUGCCUUUGAUACUGGCGAUCUUGAGUCCGGGAGAGGUGAGUGGAACUGCGAGUGUAGAGGUGAAAUUCGUAGAUAUUCGCAAGAACACCAGUAGCGAAGGCGGCUCACUGGCCCGGUACUGACGCUGAGGUGCGAAAGCGUGGGGAGCAAACAGG
rnacentral:rRNA from 1 species